CUGAGUUAAUCUUAUGUCUGAGAUCUGGAGGUGAAACCACCAGGCUGGGAGUGAAUGUCUGUUUUUCGCUUUGUCAUGUUCGAGUGGGCUGUGCCUGGGCAUCUCCCCAGAGCCGAGGUCAGCUGAGGUUUCAGUUUGAAAGAGUGGUAGCAGAUGGUGGCGUUCCUCAGAGAGGUGGCCUCAGAGGUGAACCAGGUUGCUGGAAAUACCUUUCCCCACCCUACACAAGAACGCCAAACAUCAGCCAUGGCAUCCCCCUUCAUUCACACCAGUGUCGUCUAGGGAAACCGAACAACGUCAGGGUUUUUAGGGGACAUAUUGUAUCUUGAGGCAUUUCAUCUGCAGAACCUGUCUAGGUGGGACACUGUUGGACACUUUCUUAGGACAAAUGAAAACUUCUGUGUGCUACUUGAAAGAGAAAGUACGCCCAGCGUUCCUUUCCAGAACUGGCAGUUACCACCACUCGCACUUUGGCUUCCGACCAGCUUUGACUGCAGGCUGGAGAAACUAUGUGGAGAGAAAGACAGAAAGAGACACCUGAGUGGUCCCAGAGAUUCCAUCGCCUGGCGAUCCGGCUCUUCCCAGUCCUGCACCAGACACGUGAGGGAGGGAGUCUUCAAAAGGAGCCCAGCCCCAGCCGCCAUGUGAAUGCAGCCUCCUGAGAGAUCCCAAACCAGAGCAACCCAGCCACAGCACUCCUCAUCGGACUCGCAGAAACGAUGAAAGAUAAGAAAUGAAUAUUGUUAUUUGAAGCCACUAAGUUUUGGGGUGAUUUGUCAUGCAGCAAUAGUUACAGAUUUUAUAGCUAACUAAUAUAGGCACUCUCCUACCUAGCUGGUGGUAGAUUAAAUUGGUGCAUCCUCCUUGGAGUGCGCAGUUUACUAAUGCCUAACUGAAAUAAUACCUACACAGGCCCUUUGCCCAGAUAGUCCACUUUUAGAAGUUUCCUAACAAAUAUACCCACACCUAUGCAAAGUGAUAUAUGUAUAUAUAUUUAUCACGGUAUUGUUUAAAUAGAAACAAUCAGAAAUAACCUAAAAGGCAAUUCAUAUUAUAAAUUAUAUAUUAUAAAUUAUAACAUUCAAUGGAAUAUUGUUCAGUCCAACAAAGAAUGAGGGUAUUCUUCACACGAUGCCAUGAAAAAAAAUCUCCAACAUAAUUUCCAAGCAAAACAAUAAUAGAAAAGGACGUGCAAGGCAGCGUGGACAGUGCAGUGGCAGCUAUGUAGGAGGAGGAGAAGCCUGUCCUUGUUCCUAACUGCGUGAAUAUGCAUAGAUUAUCUUUGCAAUGUACGCGAGGAACCUUCACGUCCAUUGCCUGGAGAAGAGAACUAAUGGCUGACAGACAAGAGGGCGACGGUGGGGCUUUACACUUCAAGACUUCUUAAUUUUAUACCAAGUGAAUAUAUUACCUAAUCAGGAAUAAAAAAAUAAAAAUUAACUUAAAAAAAAAGAAAUUUCUAUCAGCUGUUUUUGCUUUAACUUAACACUGUCUGGACUUUUAGAUCUUAGAGCUGGGUCUUCAAACCAAGGCAAUUCUGAGGGUCAAGCAGAGUUUCUUCCAGGGUGUACAUCCUGGAGGGUAAGGGAACCAGUUUCUAGACAGAGAAUGAAUACCAGUGCUCUUGCUUACAGUUCAGCUGUCUGGGAAAGUACCUUGCUGGGCUGGUUCUCCCUGCUUCUCUCCCAGGUUUCUUUCUCUCACUUGACAAAAGACAGGCAGACCUCUCGCCUGUCCUGCUUUUCACUCUGGGUGUUGCCUCAGAAUGGAAAGACCCCUUGGAGGCCAAACAAAGGAACAAUUCAAGAUAUUGGCACUGGUUUUGAGAAAGUGAACAACUUUAAAGGUUGAGAAAUAAAUCCUUUUGCAGAUCUAAUUCUUGCAAAAGGUAGUUUCCAAGAUUUUGCUUUCAAAAUAAUUGAAAGAGGACCUAUUGAGUUGUCAGCUGAUAGAACAUUAAAAAUUACGUUUGAUAAUGGAUCACAGGGCAGUUUUUUACAUAUAACUCAGAACUUCAAAGAAAUGAGUGAUGUUGCUAUAAGAAAACUCCUUCCAUGGCCAUCUGCUUAUUUAUAUAAAGAACGUUCCUCAGCACUAUUUUUAAAAACAAAAAAGAAUAAAAUUGAUGCUAUAAAUUAUACUCAGCCCUAAAAACUGAACUUGCUUAAAAACUAAAGCAGCUCUUUUCAUCUUACUAAGAGAUACAUUUCCAAUAAAAUUUCACUUUUAUGUUUAAUGAUUAUAGGUGGUCAAACCAUUAGAGUGAUAACACCGUCAAAAGUUGUUUUUUUUUACCCUUAGAGAAUAACAGUCACAGGAAAUCUUCUAAAAUUUAAAUUUGUUCCCAUACUUUUAUUGCCUUGAAGUAUGAUAGAAUGAUUUUUAAAAAAAGACUUUCAAGCAUACAGAUAGAUUACAUCAAGAGUAAAAUUCUUUGGGGGAAGCAGAAUGAAAUGAGCUGAAAUUGAAAAGGGAACAAUGUAAAAUUUCCUUGUGUUAAACACUAUUUUUUUGAUAUAUUUUUUAAACGACGAUGGCAGGUAUAAAAUGGCUGUGAUAUUUGGAUACAUUUUAAAGAAUAAUAUAACAAGGCUUCAAAAGUGUCCAUAUUUAUUAUGAUGGAAAUUACAUCUUUUGUUGAAGAAACAUUUUAAAUAACGUAAAACUGCAUAAGGGAGAAAGUUCUUCGAAUUCUUUAAGCAAAACACAGACAAAUAAUUCGAACCAUUGCCUUAGGGACCAUCUGAUCCAGCUCUCUUUACUUUGCAGAUGAAAAACUUGUCCAUCAAAGUGAAGUAACUUCCUCAAGGUCAAGUGACAAAUAAGACCAGAUCCUGGUCUCCUGCCUCCUGGUCCAGGCAGCCAGAUCUAAUCCAGGCAGCCUGCCUGGUAGGGUUUGCUCAUCAGGCACAUCUGCCAGGAACCAGCCUCAUCCCCACUGCCUGCGACACCAGCAAGUGCUUGGCUGGGCUCAGGGAGUGGGCGAACAGGGCUGCAGGAGAGACAAAGUCGGUGCCUUCUUCACUUUGCUGUGACGGCGCUGCUUUUUCCCUUUUCUCACCCUAGAGCUGCUCAAAUUCUCUCAGCUACAGGUAGGGUUACCAUACAAUUUAUUGUCCAAAUUAGCACACCUUUGAAAGGGGGUAAAUAUAUUAAUAAUUACGCUAAAAACACAGGUAGACACCAGGACCAUCCUGGGAUAGAAGGUCACCUUAGCUAUUGGGCUCCUGGUGAGGGAGGAAGGAGGGAGAAAACCACUCAAAACAUUGGAUUAGGCAUGGGGAGUGUUAGAGCAGCAGAGAAAUCAAGGCAAUCUGGCCUGGAAUUGGGUGAUAAUAACCAAAUGAGGGGGGAAAUGUCCAGACAAUGAAUGUAUUGUUGUUUUUCACUAACAUUCUGGUGAAAGCCAACACUACCGAUGGGCAGAAUCGACAGCUAUGCACAGAAUUUGCAAGUCCAGAAAAGUCCAGAAUUUUAUAUAAAUAUACACAUAUGUACAUAUAUAUAUAUUAAGUUACCUCUAUGAUGCCUAGUAUUGCCCAAAUUAGAGUUAUUGCUCAGGUCUUCUAGAAACUAAUGCCUUUUACCUGGGUGGUAUAACUUGGAGGGAAUACCAUAAAUGCAUCCUUCUCUACCUUACAGGGAAGAGUCGUGAGAACAUGGCUCACAAGACAGGCAAGUUUUGGAGGGGGGACCAGAGAUGACACAGUAAAUGAUCAGAACAGAAGGUGCUGAACCAAGCUCACUGGGAGGAGGAGACCCCGCCCAGGCCACAGCCUGUGGGACAGGCAUUCUGUGUGGCAUGUUCACACACGAAGCCCCAUCUAACCCUUCCUACAACCAUGCAGGUUGACUUGCUUUACCCACAUGUAAGGCCCAGAUGGCGGGUUACUCCUCUGAAAUGCCUUUGAAAGAUCAUUACAGGAGAUAGACUGUGCCAGAAGUCAAAAGAAUGACGGAUUGGACUCGUGCAAUUCUCCUUGUUGACAAGUGCUUGACCCAUUAUUUCAUCCAGAAUGGAUAAGAGCCCUGUGGAACUGGGCAGGUGUCAUUAAUGACCCCUUUAGGAUGAGCACCACUGAGGCCCAUACUCCAAGCGUCCUGCCUUUGGGGUUAGUGAUUUGGUGCAUUUCUACAGGUUAUAGACCUCCAUGCAGUUUAUGAGAGGUCAAUCCUGACAAAUGUCCCUUGACCUAAUAGGGAGGAUAAUUGUGACACUCCAGUCAUGCACAUUGAGGAAAUAUUCGUUUACAAUUAGAUUCCCAUGCAACCUCUGCCAAGGUCUCUAGGUCCCUAAAAACUUGAUUCCUGCCCACCUUUCCAACCUCUCAUUUUUUCCUGUUCUCUUUUUAUUCUAGAGUGGCCUCCUUUCUGGUCCUAGACUAUAGCAAAUCAUUUCCCAUUGGUUGUUCCCUCUGCCUGGACUUCUUUCCCCCAGAUCUUUAUGUGGCUGGCUUAUUCUCAGGCCUCAGACCAAGGUUGACUUCCUUAGUUUCUCCCUUACUGCCUUAUCUAAAGCAGCCUCCCUGGUUACUCUCACGUCAUCCUGCUUAUUUCCUUGAUAACACAGCCCAUCUGCAAUUCUCUUGGUUAUCUGUUAUAAACUUUUAUUAUGUUUUCUCCAUUAGAACAGAAGUCCCAUGAGGCAAGGACCAAGUCUGAGUUUUUAUUGCUCUAUUUCCAGUGCCGGUACAUAGGAGGUACUCAAUAUGUGCUUUUUACAAAUAAAAUGAAUAAGCAACUUCAACUGGGAAUGCUUGAUCUGGGUCUAUGGCCAGCUAGCAUUUCUACCACAGAUGGCUAUCUCUAUCUGUAAUUCCAACAAGAGUUCAUCCAGGAAGCUACAGUCAGUCCAUCACUCGCUCACCUCACUAGAGGUACCCACUGUGAUGGAAGGAAACCGCCAUCUACUUGAAAGUGUCCUCUGCUCUGCAUGCCUCAGGAUGGGAGCAUCAAGCUCGUGCUGGGCAAACCUCUCAGGGCUAAGUCCUCCAAUCUGUAUAUAAACUGCUUGCUUUUUUUUUUUUUUUUUAAAGCAAAUCCCAUGUGCUCUAAUCCAAUUUUAAUGGUGCAGUUAUGAGGAAGCAUACUAUACAGAGUUACUUAAUUGGAAAAUACGUCAAGGAAAAAACACUCUUCAAUCUGCUUUGACAAGAUGCUUCAGGCAUUAUUCAAUCCCAAGAGAUUUCAGAGGCUCCAGCACAUGUUAAUCUCAGAACAAUUUCAUUGGCCUCUGGCCAUCUUAAACUCAGAUAGUGUUGCCUGUUUUAUUUAUUUAUUUAUUUAUUUAUUUUUUUUUAAAGAUUUUAUUUUUUUCCUUUUUCUCCCCAAAGUCCCCCCAGUACAUAGUUGUAUAUUCUUCAUUGUGGGUCCUUCUAGUUGUGGCAUGUGGGACGCUGCCUCAGCAUGGUUUGAUGAGCAGUGCCAUGUCCGCGCCCAGGAUUAGAACCAACGAAACACUGGGCAGCCUGCAACGGAGCACGCGAACUUAACCACUGGGUCACGGGGCCAGCCCCUAUUUAUUUGUUUUUUUAAUUCCACUUUUACUGCUGUCUUAUGACCAUGAUGCUGCUUCCUUUAAAGUGAGAACCCUGGGAUUCUGGUAGGAGACAGCAAUCAAAGUGAAAGGAGUUACAAACUCUAUGGGAAGGUAGAGGAGAAAUUUUAGAAAUAGAGAAUAGGAAAAAAAAAAAUGCGAAGGGCUGGCCCAGUGGCGUAGUGGUUAAGUUCAUGUGCUCUGCUUCAGCAGCCUGGGGUUUGCAGGUUCGGAUCCUGGGCAUGGACCUACACACUGCUCAUCAAACCAUGCUGUCGUGGCGUCCCUUAUACAAAAUAGAGGAAGAUGAGCACAAAUGUUAGCUCAGGGACAAUCUUCCUCAAGCAAAAAGAAGAAAAUUGGCAACAGAUAUUAGCUCAGGGCCCAUCUUCCUCACCAAAAUAAAUAAAUAAAGCCUACUGAAGGCAGACAAGAGCUUAUUAUGAUAGUAAAGAAUUCCCAGGCUGGAUGAUAGAGGUCCAGGGAGGUGGCCCAGCACGUGGAGAUGUUUUGUUCAUGGGGAUUUUUGCCAACUCUGAAGGAAGUAGCUGAGAGGCUGAAAGGCUGAAGGGUACUUUGGACAGCCAUAUUGGGCUAGGGGGCCCAAGCUAGUGCCCACCAAGAGUACCUCUAGUGAACAGUUAGUUGAGACCCCAAAGGGAUCACCCUAGGAAUAAGCGUGAACUAGAGUUAGAAAAUCCUUGUAAAGAUUAAAGCUCAACCUCAAAUGAUCUCAUCUCUGAACUUGGAUUGAAGUAAUCCAGAUUGGUGGUGUUUCUCUCUGGAGGAAAAUGUCACCUUAGAUCUAAAAUUAAUUCUACACACAAUGUUGCAAAUACAACAUUGGGCACGUGAUAAAAAAUAACCAAGUACAUGAUGAGAUAAGGCAACAUGAAAAACAAACAAAGAAACAAAACCAGAAACAACCAUCCACAGAAACAGACCCAUGGGAGCUUCAGCUAUAAGAAUUAUCAGUAAAGUCUUAUAUUAACUGUUUCCUAUGUUCAAGAAGAUAAAUGAAAAGACUGGAAAUUUUGACAAGAACUGGAAAUUAUAAGAAAGAAACAAGUGGAAAUUUUAAAGAUUUUAUUUUUUCUUUUUCUUCCCAAAGCCCCCUGGUACAUAGUUGUGUAUUUUUAGUUGUGGAUCCUUCUAAUUGUGGCAUGUGGGAUGCCACCUCAGCAUGGCUUGAUGAGCGGUGCCAUGUCUGUGCCCAGGAUUUGAACCGGUGAAACCCUGGGCCACCAAAGCAGAGUGCACAAACUUAACCACUCAGGCACGGGGCUGGCCCCACAAAUGGAAAUUUUAGAACUGAAAAACAUAACAACUGAAAUUAAGUACUCAAUGGAUGAGUUUAACACAGAUGAAGGGAGAACUGGCAAAAUGGCAGAAAGUCCAGAGGAAAUAAUUCGGAAUGAAUCAUGAAGAGAUAAAUUAAUGGACAAUAUAUAGGCAAGGAUAAGUAAAAGAGAAUACGAUAAGAAGAUAUCACCUACUUGAGAGAGAGAGAGAAUGAGGAAAAAGUAAUAUCUGAAGAAAUAAUGGUGAGAAUAUUCCAAAGCUGAUGAAAAGAUAUUAAGCCAUAUAUUCAACAAAUCUUUCCAAUCCCAAACAGAUUUUUAAUAAGGAGAAAACCACAUCUAGUCACAUUAUAGUAAAACUUCUAAAACUAGGGGGCUGGCCCCGUGGCCGAGUGGUUAAGUUCGCGUGCUCCGUUGCAGGCAGCCCAGUGUUUCGUCAGUUCGAAUCCUGGGCGCGGACAUGGCACUGCUCAUCAGACCACGCUGAGGCAGCGUCCCACAUGCCACAACUAGAAGAACCCACAACGAAGAAUACACAACUAUGUACCGGGGGGCUUUGGGGAGAAAAAGGAAAAAAUAAAAUCUUUAAAAAAAAAAAAAAAACAAACUUCUAAAACUAAAGACAAAGAGAGAAAAAUCUGAAACAUAUCCUGAUUAUAACACAAACAACAUUCAACGAAGCAACAGACAGACAGCCUACUUCAACAGAAGCACUGUAAAACACAAGACAACGUGACUGUAAAUGCAUCAGAAUGAGUGGGAAAUACAUCUUUAGGUAAACAAAAGCUGGUAGAGUUUGUUACUAGCAGAUCUGAACCAAAGGAUACUAUUCAGGCAGAAGGGAAAUGAGUCCAGAUGAAAGCUUGAAGAUGCAGGAAGGAAUCCGAAAAAAUAAAAAAAGGUUAAUUUAACUCGAUAUUGACAUCAAACAAUAACAGGAAUUAGAAUACACAAGUACAAUGGCAUAUAAGGGAGGGGGGAGUAAAUGGAAUUAAAGUACUCUAAGACCCUUACUUAGUUCAGGAAGAAGAUAACAACAACAAUCAAAUUAGACUUGUGAAGAAUGCAGUUGUUGUCUAUAUGCAAAAGAGGCUAUAGCUUCCAAGCUACAAGAAAGAAAUAAAAUAGUAAUAAUUUUAAAAAUUCAAAAUAAAAACAAAGGUGAGAAAAAAAGAAUGUAGACCAAAACAGAGUAACAAUAAGUUACAUAAUUAAAUAAGAUUAUAAACCUGAUUAUAGCAGUAAUUAUACAUAAUGCAUUGAGACAGUCAAAGAUCUUCAAACUGAUAUAAAAGACUAUGUUUAUGAGAAUUAUCUGUAUCUAUAUGAAUACAGUAAUGUUAAAAGUAACAAGAGAGAUAAAGAAAUAACAAUAUAAAUAGCAAUGAAAGGAAAGUGAGUAUAGCUAUAUUAAUAUCAGAUACAGUAACCUGUAUCUGUAAAGAGGAACACAAUAAUGGUAAAAAUAUACAUUUUAUCAGGAAGAUAUGAAAAUUUAAAAUUUGUAUCCACCUAAAAAAUAUGGCUUCAAAAUAAUAUAAAGCAGAAAAAGAACAGAACUAAAUAGGAAAAUAGACAAAAAUAUUCGAGUAGAAGUUUUGGGGGUUUUUUUGUUGGUUUUUCUUUCUUUCUUUCUUUUAGUGAGGAAGAUUGGCCCUGAGCUAACAUCUGUGACCAUCUUCCUCCAUUUUGUAAGUGGGAUGCCGCCACAGCAUGGCUUGAUGAGCAGCGUGUAGGUCUGCCCCUGGGAUCCGAACCCGGGAACCCUGGUCUGCUGAAGUAGAGUGCACAAACUUAACCACUACACCACCGGACCAGCCCCAGAGUGGAAGUUUUUUAAACAUACUUUGUAACUGAUAGAACGAGCAAACAAAGAUCAGAAGAACUUGGAGGACUGGAGCAACAUGAUUAAGAAAUCACCUGAUUCAUAACAUGGAGUGUUCAACGGCAGGGUACAUACUCUUUUAAAGCAUAUAUGGAAAAACUGACCAUAUACUGUGUCAUAAAGCAAGUCUCAACACAUUCCCGAGGACUGAAGUCAUACAGCGUAGGCUCUCUGACCACACUGCAGCCGAAAAGAAAUCAGUAACAAAGAGAUACCAGGAAACCCUCAUUUAUAGGGAAAUUAAGAAAUACGCCUCUAAGUAAUCCCUGUGUCAAAAAAGAAAACACAAUGCAAAUUAGAAAAUAUUUUGGGUGGCAUGAAAUGAAUGAAAAUGUUAUAUAUUAAAAUAGGGAGAAAUUUCUUGAUGUUAAAAUGUUGGACAUCAUAUAUCAACUUUUGACCAUAGAAAAGCUGGAUUUAACUCUUUGAAACCUCCUCAUGCCCCCCCCCCCCCAAAUAUUUCCCUUCUCCCCACUCCCCACCCUCUCAAAUGGUUAUAGCACAUAUUGGUUAAAUUAAUAUUCACUAUUUAUAUUAUUUUGGUUAUGUAAGUAUUUUUCAGAAAAUAUAUAUGGACUAGAUGUUGCCUUCAAGGCAGACCAGUCUUCCCCUCCUAUCUAUCCUAUUUACUUUCUUAUGCCUUUGCCAUCUCUGAACCUCCUCACCCAGCUGUCAAUGACAUCAGCUAACAGUUAAGCAGCUAACAACCUCCAGAAUCCAGACUGCCAGGGCCGAAGCUUCCCUGGAGCUGAUGGCAACUCAAGAUGGAAAGAGACGCGUUUGCAGAUUCCAAGAUGGCCAGAGCAAAGCUGAGGAUGCACAAGGGAAAUAGUGCUAAAAAAAAAUAAAGUAGAUGCUUUCACAGCAGAUGGGAAUAGCUGUUUCUUUUUGGCUAACUGUGAGAGCACAGAGCGAGAAUAGACUGAGAGUUGAGCAUGCUUAAUGAUUUUAUUACAGGGGAAAAACAAAAGUUCAAACUUUUUAAUUUUCCUUUUCAAUACCAAAAAAAAAAAAAAAAGGGAAAGAAAGAGAGGAAGGAGAAAGAGGCCGUUCCCAGGAUACAAAUCUAUUGCUUAAGGAAUGUUCCCCAGGAUACAAGCAUGUGCUUAUGAAUGAGAGCAGGUGGCGUUCUUCUGCUGUGACCCCCUAGGAGGCAGCCUCUUUAUCCACUAAGUGCAGGGGGUGGUGUAUAAAGAAAAGAAAGGGAGGGGAGCUUCUCUCACAGCCAGAGCAGGUGGGGAGGCAGAAAGCAAGUGUCUUCAUUACGGGCAGUGAAGCAGGAUGAACAGUUUGUUGUCCCAGCUUCCUGGUUAGAAGCCAAAGUGCAUUUUCAACUGAAGCAGGAAAUCUCUAGCACUUUCAGGAAUGGUUAGGUAUGGGGUAUACUCUUGUAUCAGCAUGGAAGAAGACAACAACAAAUAUUAUCUAUAAAAAAAGAGCUGGGGUUUUAUUUUUCUCCUAUUGAAAUAUAAAGAUUCCUACAGAAGAGCUGGAAACUUCACCACCAUUCAUUUUUUUCAUUCGUCCGACAGGUAUUUCUGGAACACUUACUGAGUACCCUGCACUGAGCUAAAGCUAGACUUUUCUCAGAAUGAACUGAGAGUCUGUGAGGGGAUGCAGAUACCAAAAGGCAGUCACGACAGCGUAAUAAGGUGAAACGAGGUGGAUUCAGGUGCUACCUGCGCCCAGGAGAGGUCGUGCUCCGUGCAGGCUGGGUGGAGGACGGGCUGCUUUUACGGAAACUGUCAUCUAAGGUGACACCUGAAACAUAAGGAUCUGUGGCACUGCAACUAUGGGAAAAUGUUAUAAAUCCAAGCUUAGGCCUUACGACAGACCUAACAGGCAUGGAAAUUUAAGUUUGCUCGUAUAUAAUUUCUUUCUAAAGCAAAGAAAGAAGUCACUCAUACUCGUUGCUAAGACUUCUGAUUUUUACCAAUUAUCUUGAGGCUGAAACCCUUUCUGUUGUUUCGCUUUCCACACGACCACCUAAAAAGGUCCCAGUCCACUCAUGUGCUUUGCUCCACUGCUUUCUGACCCGUUAUGCAGGGUUGCCUCAAAAUAUUUCUUGGGAAUUCAGGGAGAGUUCACGAUGGGGAAGGCUGGCGACUGCGUCUCAGAACUCGCUCUCAGCAAGCCCUCCAAAGGUAACCGGCCGAGCCCUGCUUUUGAUCAAAUUUUAAUGAUCACGCUGAUAUAAACUACUUUCUGUUCCUGAUCUAUUUCCCAGGAUCUUUCCUGCAGUUAAUCACCAGCUGAAUGGAUCCUGGGGCUCCAGGCCAAAGUGAAAAUGCUGCUCAGCUUGCAAGCAUCAUUACAGAGCACUUUGAUUAGCUCUGACUCACCCUGCGCCGUCUCCACAGCCUGCAAGAAGGCUGCCUGUUACCUUUGUUUCCUCCAGUUCCCAUGGAUACCACCUGAAGGGGCUUCGAAAGCUUCUAAUACCGGCUUCCUCUGUCUUUUGUGACUCUCCACCGAAAUUUCUUCUUCCCCUCAUCCCCGGCAAGAGUUGUAGCCAGAACAUGCUGUCCAGCCUGGGACUACGUUUCUCAGCCUCCCUUGAGCCACUUGAGGUUAUGUGUCUACACCUUCACCAAUGGAACUUGAGCAAGAGGGUGCCACACUCAAGCUGGAGCCCACUGCCUCCAUGAUCUUUUCCUAUUCCCUUUUGGUCUUGUUGGUGAAAACAUGUAAUGGUCUUAAAAUCCAUGAGUUGCUAUCAGACUUGGUGCCUAAGCCACGCAUCAACCCAGAGCCCUUGUCUGGAUGGCUUCACGACAGAGAAAGAAACAGCUUGUUCCUCAGCUCACCACAUUUUAGAGAUCUUUAUUAGAAAGCUUACGUUGCCCUAGCAAACUUGGCCACAACGCUCCAAGGUAAGUUUUUUUUUUUACUAACCCCAUUUUACUAAUGAUAAAAAUGCAGCUCAGAGAAGUCAGGUAAUUUGUCUAAAGUCAUACCUUUAGUAAUUAGCAGGUUUGGGAUCCAAAUCUAGGUUUCCUGCCAAUUAGUGAUGCUAGAGGUCGGAGGAGUGGGUCCCUAGGGUGGAGGAGUGACGGCAAGGGUGCAUGAGGGGGACUCCCUUUGUCUUCUUAGGAGAAACGGGAUUCGGUUGGUAAUUAUCUUUAACAUUUAGACAACAUGUUGUCAUUAUACAAAGCUCUGUCACACAAUUAACUCAUUUAAGCCUCACGAAUACCUUGAACAGAUGAGGAGACCGAGGUUUGCACAAGUUAGAUAUCUUGAACACAGUUAAUAAAAACUGGCUCUAGGCUCUGAACACAGAUCUUCCCUUUACAUCCUGUACCCAGUGCGUUCCAGUAUGCUGAAGCAACUCUCUCAGGUGUAAGUUACAACGACCAACUCUUACUAGCUUAAACAACAAACAAACCAACCCCACCCCCACCCCAUACACCCCUAUCCGCACAACUAGGCUGGGGACAAAGUAGAACUAGCCAAAGUAGCAUGGCUGUCAUCAGAUUUCUAGUUCUCUCACUCUGCCACUAAUCUUCCUCCAUGGAGAGGAAAAUGGGGCCAGAGUCAGCUGCAACUUACAGCUUCCAAGCUUAGCAACCACGUAGGAAAAACUGAGCUCUGGCCAACUGGUUUACUAUUUACAAGUCCUAGGCAAAGACCCUGACUGGCCCAGCUUGGAUCUGUUGCCUUCUCCAUGGACCAAUCAUUGAAGCCAGGGGAUGGGGCCAGACACUUAUUGGUAGUCCCCUAGAACCACACGGCAUGGGUGGCAGGACAGGAACAGUUAUCUAUAGGAAGUGGAGGAAGGUGGAUGCUGAUGUCAGAAUAGGAAAGGGAAGUUGGACAGACGAAAACAGAUCCAUUAUACGUACCCUGCAUUGUAGAAAGGUUUCGCCAUAGAAAUUGCGGCAGCAUCCAUUCCUUUUGAAAACACUGCAUGUGCGUGUGUGUCUAUAUAAAUGUAUGUAUUAUAUAUAUAAUUGUCUCUUGGUCUUACUAUAGACAUCCUCUCGCAUAGUGUGGUCCAAAAAGUUGCACUCCGUGACUUGCCUGUUCCUUCAGAACCCUCUCUAGAACUUCUUAGCAGCUCCCUUUUAAUUACAGGCCCCAGGGGAGUCUGACCAGUGUAUGUGCACAGCGUCCUGUCCCAGGGAGACCAAAGCCCCUGAUUUAAGGGAUGAGGGAGGAAAUAAUUGCACGGAGGUGUGGAUAUCUGUGCUCUGUGUGAGGAGUGGGAGAGAAAAGUUUACAUAUACCCUUAGUUUUCUGUCUCCAGGGUUACUCUGAGGAUCAAAAUUCAUUUUCACCACAGUCCCUCAGUGUGAAGAGAAGACUUUAACAAAAAGUCAGGUACACCGUUCUGCCUGCCCUUCACGUGUGCAGAGGUUUUGGCUGCUCCCAGCCAAGUCGCUGCACUUGGUUACCCCAUGAGUCCAACUGCUGGCCACAGGAGCUCCACGUGUACUGGGCCAAGAAAGCAGGCAGUCAGAGCUGCCAGAGCCGGUGGAGACAUCUCUCUGUUCUGGCACGUGAAUCUCCCUACUCUGGUAUGUGACCUCUCUAACAACUUGUCACACAUUUCUAAGACUCCAGACAUUUUUUUUUCAAACUUUGUCUUAAAUAGUGGCUUUUAAACUUUUAAAUUAAAAAAUUAAACCCACAGUAAAAUAUAAAUUUAACAUUGACCUGUACACACACUAACACACACACAUACACACACACAAUAUAAGCAAAAAUAUUUCGUGAGAAACAUGUAAUAUUUACCCUUACCCUGUGUGUUGCACUCUGAUACAUCCUAUUCAAUUUUAUUUCAUUUUUGAAAAAUUGCGAGACAUAAAUGACUACCUUGUUUUCACGACAGGUCGUGACCUACAGUUUGGGGAGCACAUUGUCCAACUGUUCUAAGCACUGCCCCGAGCACAUCAUCCCCUUAGACUGGGGCUCCAACCCAUCAAAUGCUUCGAAAGCCCUCGGUUUCAGGACCCCAGCCCAGGAGUGCGUGAGCUGUGCUAGGUUGGGGAGGCAGGUCCCGGGCCCCAGUCCCUCAGGAGGUGUCUUGGAGUUAGAAGGGACACCUUCUCAGCUGCAUAAAUCUCUUCCACAUCACCCCAGAACAGGUGGCCCAGGCUCUGCUCCACGUCCCCGGCUGUCAGGAGCUCACUGCCUGCUGCUUUAACUGACUGAGAUAUUAAAGAGUUCUUCAACGUUCCCAGUAGAAAUAACCAUGCUGCCACGUGCAUCCUCCAUGCUGGUCCUGCCCUUGGAAGCCAGGAAAAACCCUAUGGUCAUGUUUGGUUUUCAAGAGAGGAAAGAGUUGUUGACUCCAUCCAGAUGGGGACUGCGAGGGACUGGUCUGCCCUGGAGCCGGGGAAGGCUUCCAGUGGGUGCAGAGAACCAGAGCAGGAGCCUCUGAUAGACUUGCGAUGAUGCAUGUCCACUGGGAGCUCAGGAAGCAUAAAAGGAGCAUGUGCAGGUUUCUCCUGCAAAAGCCCGGGUCAGAGGCACAUCUCCAGCAGGACUGGCAUUCAGAAGGGCUACUUUGGGGAGACAGCUUCUUAAAAAAGGAGCAAUUUACGAUCUCAACAUUUUUGGAGAGAACGUGUUUUAUUCAUUCCCUGCCACAACCCACCUGUUGCAUAUGGCGCUGUGGGCAGCGCAGGAGUUACAGACUUACAGUUACUGGUUGUUCUUCAGACAGGCUGUGCCUUGUCUGGGGGAGGCGCGGAGAGAUGUUUCCUCAAACAGCCAAGAGCAAGAAGGCUAGAGGGAGUGCAUCCGUCAUGCUGGGGGUGCACCAAGGGUCAAGCGUAGGCAAACACAAUUCUGUGCACUCAAUGUGGCAUAUGGAACAUGUACAGAGAACCCGCCAGGAUGGCCGCCAAAAUGGAUGGAAAAUGGGAGAACGGAGAGGAGACGAUGGGGAGAGGCCAGGACAAUUUCCUGCACCAAUUGUCCUGGGUAAUCAGGACAGUCUCCCUGAGCAGACUGCUGUCCCGGCUUAUGUUUUAUUGCUUGGCCAGUGCACGGCAAGUCUGCUAGGUUUACAUUAAGGCGCAACACUCAGGAAAACAGCUGCCUUCAAAACAGUGAUUUUUGCUUUCUGGAGCUGCCCUAUCCUUUAGCAGUCUCACCUUCACUCUGCCGUCAAGAAGAUCUGCCUUUUGAAUGUACAAGUCAGAGUAAAACUGUGUCAAAGUUUUUAAACCUAUAACGUUUAACCACACUGUGGAUUCACAAUGGCGAAAAGCCUCAAUCGUCUUCCAAACUGGAAAGUUUAAAGAUACUUAGCACAAAGUUGGAUCAUGGAUCCACUUUUGAAAAAGAAACUUUCCAUUUCAGCUAGAAGAGCAUCACUUUAAGUAGGAGCACUGCCUGAAAGACUGUGUAAACUAUGACCACGAAAUAAGGAACUUUUUAAACAAACACAUUAGAAUGUCUAACCCAAAUAAGUGUCAGUCUUGGGAGCAUCUUUUUCGUCAAAUGAUGCCAUUAUUGCUCAAAGCUUUUUCAAAAUUCUUCUUUCCGAGGAGCCUUCAAAACGACUUGCACAAAAGCAGAAGGAUGUCACCUGACUUGAUAGUCACAGGUUUGCUUUCUUGAUGCAAUGCAAUUUUCUUCUUUUCACACUUUUUGCAACUUUAACCCUGCCCUGCUUCCCUCUUUCACGUCAUGAACUAAUAACCAAGGGAUCCCAAGAGACGUGUUGUAAUGGUGCUACCUGAGAAAGGAAAGGUCUGGGAGAAAGAGCAUGGGGCUAGUUAUAGCUCAGAAUAGGAGAGACCAAAGGAGCAUGGCCACUGCCUCAAUCCCUUUGGAUAUUGAGUGACUAUAAGAAAUGUAAUUGGAUAACUGGCCAAGUGUCCUCAACACAAAUCAUCUCAAGUUGAACCCCCAUUAAGUCAGGGGAUAUUCCUUGGCUAUAGCCAAGAGGUAGCAUCAUGCAUCUAACAGAGAUCUGGAUUUGGUCAAAGUCUUUUUUUGCAACAGACCAGAACAUGACCGGCCAGCCAUGCUGGAGCUGGUUGCCACUGGAUGGCAGGGAAUUUUGAGGCAGAGAUAAUGUAGCAAAGAACCAGUUGUUGUUUGGAUUCCCUCAAUGGCAGCAGCUGUAAGAGAGUCUUCUAAGUGUUGGCUUGGACCAAUGUUUGGGGAAAGAUUAGUUUGAGAGAGUUCUAGUUGUGUGGAGCUACAAGAGGAGAAAGAACCAGCUCAGGGUAGGCAAGAAUAACAGAGAACCUGAGGUGUGUACCCAGAUUUGGAAGACCUAGUUGGCUUGCUGUAAGGAUUAAAUGAGAUAUUUAUGCAAAUACUUUGAAACUAUAAAAUGCUUUUGUUGAUGUGUUAUUCGCCACCUCUAUUUACCUCCCAGGAAAGCAAACGAAUUUCAACCUUCCUGCCCCUCCAGUUAUCACUUAUCUACAUCCACCUCCAUCUCCUUUGCUCUUCCUAUAGCUAGUGAAAGACACUUCCUGUUUUUAUCCAAUGCUAAUUCCUACACCUGUGCAAUGCCUGUGCUCUUCUGAUCCAUCCCUUCCUGCUUCCUGACUUCUUGUUCCAUCAGUUAUGCUUCAUUUGUUCACCUCGUCAACCUCUCCCUCCCUCUUCCCCAUCAUAAUUCAAACAUGAUCUAAGAUCUCCCAACUUAAAAAAGGAGAAAAAUCCUUCCUCACACCAUGAUUUUCCUCCCCCUAGGGCACCUCUUGUUUCUCAUACUGUUGCCUUUUCUUCAUAGUCAGCCUUCUGGCAAGGGCAAUCUCUACUCAUUACCUCCAGCUGCUUAUGUCCCAUCCAUAUGUGACCUCCCUGCAGAGGGCUCCUGGAUCUGUCACUGCACUGGACCUGGUUUUGUCAAGGUGACCAGUGACCACCCUCCACCAAAUCCAAUGGCCACGUGUUUGUUCUAUUAAUUAACUUUCUAAACCCUCUUCCCUCCGCUGCUAUGGGAACACACUCUCCUGCGGUUUCUCUCACUUUUCCAACUGUUCUGUCCCAUUCUUCUUCCUCCAUCUGUUCCUUAAACAGUGGGGAUCCCUCUUGGACUCUAGGGGCACUGAUGGUUCUUCAGCUCUUAGGAGGAAACUGGUUGGCACAUCGUUGGUUCACAGUCAAUGCCUUUUCUUGAACCAAAGGGUUUGGAGUCGGUGCUUUCUCCCUCUGGGACCCUUCUUUGGGUUCUUAUCUUCCCAGAGGUCUGGUGUAGUGAGUCAGCCUGUGGCCACCUGCUGCUGGGAAAGCACAUGACCUAAAGGUGAGGCUUCCAUCAGCAACGCUCCGGGCUCCAGAACAAACCCGUCUUUGUUCCUUCUGCUUUUUUGCUGUGCCUUUUCUAGGGUUCACCUUGCCUCUCUGUAAAAGGGGUAAGGCACAGCGGAGACUUGCAUCUGGGCUUAUGAGGACAGGUGGCCACUCGGUCCAUUGUAUCUAAGUCUUGGAUCUGCUUCCCGCAAGCCAGAGAGAGAUCCUGUGUGGCUCCAUUAGCCACACCCGGCACACCAGCCUAGGGCUCCUCGCUGAGGUCGGCGGCUAAGGCCCUCAUAUAUCUACUUCUUGGGGGCUUCCUCUGCCUGGCUACCUUCUUUAUGAACUUAUCUGCCCCAGGGUCCUAGAACAGGAUGUAGGUGUUGAGGUCUCCGGGGCGGGUAUUCUCCACUGCGUCGCAAUCUGAC
rnacentral:lncRNA from 1 species